rnacentral:rRNA from 1 species
CGGAUCGGAGUCUGCAACCCGACUCCAUGAAGCUGGAUUCGCUAGUAAUCGCGCAUCAGCCACGGCGCGGUGAAUACGUUCCCGGGCCUUGUACACACCGCCCGUCAAGCCAUGGGAGUCGGGAGUGCCUGAAGUUCGUGACCGUCACAGGAGCGACCUAAGGCAAGACCGAUGACUGGGGCUAAGUCGUAACAAGGUAGC